rnacentral:snRNA from 1 species
GCUAUUCCUAAGAUUGUGCUGUUUUUUUGGAAUGAUACAGAGAAGAUUAGCAUGGCCCCUGUGAAGGAUGACCUGCAAAUUUGUCAAGUGUUCCAUAUUAAA